rnacentral:rRNA from 1 species
AGCGAACGCUGGCGGCAGGCCUAACACAUGCAAGUCGAGCGCUCGUAGCAAUACGAGAGCGGCAGACGGGAGAGUAACACGUGGGAACGUACCCUUCGGUUCGGAAUAACCCAGGGAAACUUGGGCUAAUACCGGAUACGUCCGCAAGGAGAAAGAUUCAUUGCCGAAGGAUCGGCCCGCGUCCGAUUAGCUAGUUGGUGAGGUAACGGCCCACCAAGGCGACGAUCGGUAGCUGGUCUGAGAGGAUGAUCAGCCUCACUGGGACUGAGA